CCCUCCUCCCUAUUGAGGAAAAAAAAAAAGCUUUACAAAAAUUAAGCAGCUGUGGCCGGCUCCCCCCUGUAAUCCCUGCAUACAUACACGUGGGCACACACACAUGUGCACACACAUACACCCACUCUUUGCCUUUAUGUGAAGAAGUUGGCCAAUAACCGUCCAUGCAUUAGUAGGCAGUGGAGCACAGCACCCAGUAAGACUGGUAUUUAAUUCCUACUGGAGCUGGUAGACUGGGUUUCUGUGCCAGACACGAGGCUGGCCAAGCCAUCUUAAGCAAAUAGCUUGUUUGGUAUAAAAUAUUAAAUAUACUUGGCCUACUUUUCCUUCAGUCUCUGCUCAGUCCAAAGGGAACAGGGAAAGGGAGGGAUAGACAGAUAAUCUAUUGACAAAUAUGGAAAUAGAAAAAUAAAAGUCAGUGCCUACCUUUUCCUGGCACUUCCAUACCAUACAAGAUAAUUUACGGUGAUCUGUGGUCUCUCUGGGAUUGAUAGAAUCCUUUUGUGUACAAACAACUGUGGAUCUACAGAACUAGCUAGGAAAAGUCUAAAAUUAUAUGCACCUGAGUCAUGAAACACUGGUCAGUUUUGUAGCUAACAGGAAUAAUGAUUUCGAGGGCCAUGGCAUCCGCGUUCCUGCCUUCCAUUAUGUGUGAAUUUGGAAUCUCUAAGCUCUGUUUCCCCACUUGCCUGAAAGGUGAACCACAAAAUAUUUUGGAAUGUUAGUGUUCAUGUUGUGGCACUAUGGCAAAUCUUCAGAGUCAGUGGUUGGCUCAGGGACAAAACUAUAGUAAAGUAGCUCAUGGGCAAUUUUAGAUUUGUAUGUCGUUUAAAAAAUAGGGCUGAAGUCUUGAAAAUAUUUUCGAUUUAUUACUUUAACAACAUGAACUCUGUUCUUUCAGUUUGACAUUCGUAGACACCAUUGGUAGAUUUUUUUCAGCCUCUAGAAAUUCAGCUAAGCUGUUUCUGUAGUAUGUAGUAUUUCCUCUAUGUUUACUGAGAUCCUGGAUAGAUAACAGAAGAUGAGCUUGAGUGUGCUUGGUACUUUCCAAAUUACCAAUGAGGUUUUUUGUGUGUGUGGUUUAAUUUUUUUAAUUUUAUUUAUUUAUUUUUAAAUUUACAUCCAAAUUAGCUAGUAUAUAGUGCAACAAUGAUUUCAGGAGUAGAUUCCUUAAUGCCCCUUACCCAUUUAACCCAUCCUCCCUCCCACAACCCCUCCAGCAACCCUCAGUUUGUUCUCCAUAUUUAUGAGUCUCUUCUGUUUUGUCACCCUCCCUGUUUUUAUAUUAUUUUUGUUUCCCUUCCCUUGUGUUCAUCUGUUCUGUGUCUUAAAGUGCUCCUAUGAGUGAAGUCAUAUGAUAUUUGUCUUUCUCUGACUGACUAAUUUCACGUAGCAUAAUACCCUCCAGUUCCAUCCACGUAGUUGCAAAUGGCAAGAUUUCAUUCUUUUUGAUUGCCGAGUAAUACUCCUUUGUAUAUACGUACCACAUCUUCUUUAUCCAUUCAUCCAUCAGUGGACAUUUGGGCUCUUUCCAUACGUUGGCUAUUGUUGAAAGUGCUGCUCUAAACAUGGGGGUGCAUGUGUCCCUUCGAAACAGCACACCUGUAUCCCGUGGAUAAAUGCCUAGUAGUGCACUUGCUGGGUUGUAGGGCAGUUCUGUUUUUAGUUUUUUGAGGAACCUCCAUACUGUUUACCAGAGUGGCUGCACCAGCUUGCGUUCCUAGAGGGUUUUUUAAAUACAAGUAUGCAAAGGUUGUAGUAUAGUUAGAAUCCUACAGUUUUAGAAUCCUCUCCUAGCCACCACCCCCCCGCCACGUGCAUACAUGUACAUCCACAUUUUUCUUCAGACGGGGAAAUGGGGGUCGAGAGAGGCCAACUGAGUGAUUUGCUUGAGUGUAUCUAGAAGUGUGAAUAUGUGUCCCAGGCCAUGCCAGGGUUGUAGUGCACUAUUUAUGUCAUCUGAAACACAGAUGCCUGGAGGAAUAUGGGCACCUGAUUGAUUUCCACCCCCACGUUUCCUAUCUUGUGAGCUUGAAAAUACAGCUUGAGGAGAUAGGCACGCGGGCUCCUGGUUUUGCGUCACUGGUGACAAUUGUGUUUGUCCCCCUCUUCCCUGUUGCCGCACAGAAACAUUGGGGAGCCACAAAGGUAGCACAGAGAGACUACUUCCUUUGGCAAAUAAUGGCCAAAAUGUAUUUUUAAAACUUGAUUUUAAAAAAUACAGUUAAAAUUCAAACAGAGCAAAAGUAUAUGAAAAGAAAGUGUAUCCAAAGAGAAGCUGACGUGUUCCAUCCUGCCCCCCUGUCUCUGUUCCUUUCACGUUUUACUCAGAGGUCCUAUGCGAUGUGCUUUUCUGCACCUUGCUUUUAUUUUAUUUUAUUUUAUUUUAUUUUAUUUUAUUUUAUUUUAUUUUAUUUUACUUUAUUUUAUUUUACUUUAUUUUAUUUUAUUUUAUUUUACUUUACUUUACUUUAUUUUAUUUUAUUUUAUUUUAUUUUAUUUUAUUUUAUUUUAUUUUAUUUUAUUUUAUUUUAUUUUAUUUUUUUAAUAACAUAAUGACACAUCUUGGUAUCCUUCCACAUUGGCACUUAUAGGUAAACUUUUUCAUCCUGUGUACUAUGGCAUGAAGUGGCUGUAUUUAUAAUUUAUUUAUUAGAGCCCUUAAUGACACACACUUGGAUUGUUUAUUUUUGUUAUUAAAAACAGCGCUGCAAGCAAUAGCCUCUAACAAAUAUCACGAUGGACUCGUGCGAGUCCAGCUAUGGGGUAAAUUACUAGUCAUUACCGGGUUGGAGGCUACAGAUGCUUUAUGUUUUGAUAAAUACUACCAAAUUGCCCUCCAAAAAGGUUCAACCAGUUAAUGGUCGCACCAAAUAGAUGAGAGUGACGGCUUCCUCAUGCUGGUCUGAUGGGUGGAAAUGGCAUUUCCCCGUUGUCUUUGUCUGCCUUCAUGUGAAUGCAGUGAAUUUCAUUGUCUUCCUUUUUCCCUAUUGUUCUGCAAAUGGCUUGUUCCUCCUGUCUGUUCCCAUUUUUCUCUGGGUUCUCUUUUCUGGUUGGAAAGAAAGGGAUAAGGAUGUAGUCCUUGCCAUGCCUACUUCAAGUAUAUUUUUUCAGCUCGUCAGUUUUUCUUCGGUGGACCUUAUUUAUGGUUUAUUUUUCAAGAUGGUAGUUGUACAUGUGUAUAAUUCUAAUUUUUUGAGAGAGAACGUGUGUGCAAGGGGGGGGAGGGGCAGAGGUGGGGAGAUAGAGAAUCCCGAGUAGGCUCCAUGCCCAGCACAGUACCUGACGCGGGACUCGAUCUCUCAAACUGUGGAAUCGUGACCUGAGUCGAAACCAAGAGCCGGACUCUUUAACUGACUGAGCCACCCAGGCACCCCCUAAUUUAAUUUUUUAAUCCAUAAAUGAAGUGGGUUUCAUUUUGUAAUUUAACGUCUUUGAAUAAGUACUACAUUUUGGGGGACAUAAGAUGAAACAACUAUAAACAGUUACACGUUGAGAAGUCUUGCUUUUACCUAUUUUGUCUACUCCAUUCUAAAGCAACCAUAUAUUUUAGGAUUUUGUCUGUCCUUCCAGUAUUUCAGCAUUGUAAAUAUAAGCAAAUAUGAAUAUUCCUAUUCUCCCCCCCUUUUUUUUUUAAAUUUUUUUAAAUGUUUAUUUUUGAGAGAGAGAGUGAGAGUAGGGGAGGGGCAAACAGAGGGAGACACAGAAUCCGAAACAGGCUCCGGGCUCUGAACUGUCAGCACAGAGCCCAACGUAGGGCUUGAACUCAGGCACCGCCAGAUCAUGACCUGAGCCGAAGUCGGAUGCUCAACCUACUGAGCCCUUCAAGCGGCCCAUUCUCCCCCUUUUUCUUAAAUGAAAGCUCACAUAUUACUUUGUAUUAUUCCACACCUUGGCUUUUUUUCACUUAAUGACCUUUCUUGAAAGCUUGUCCAUGUCUGUAUAUAGAAAAACAGCUUCCUCUUUUUUUCAUACCUGCACAGUAUUCGAUACGUACAAGGACCUUGGUUCACUGACACUGUCCGUUAUUGAGGAACUGUUGUGUUGUUGCUGACCUUCUGCCAUUACAACAUUGUAACGAAAGACCCUGCCUAUAAGAACGUUCAUGUACAUGCAGGAAGGGUAGUUUCCUAUAAAACUGACGAAUCAAAGGGGAAAUGCAAAUGGGGUUUAUACAGUGUUGCUCUGUCACCAGCAAGGUAUGUAGGUAUGCCUGUUUCCUCACAUUUUUUUUUUUUUUUAAUGUUUAUUUAUUUUGGAGACAGAGUGAGAGCGGGGAAGGGGCAGAGAAAGAGGGAGACACAGAAUCUGAAACGGGCUCCAGGCCCUGAGCUGUUUGUUAGCACAGAGCCUGAUGGGCUCGAACCCAUGAACCACGAGAUCAUGACCUGAGCCGAAGUCGGACGCUCAAUGACUGAGCCACCCAGGCGCCCCUAUUUCCUCACAGUUUUGCCAGCAAGAUGUGUUUCAGACAUCUAGGUAUUUGUUGGUUUGAUAGAUCAGAAAUGGUAUCCAAGGGCACCUGGCUGGCUCAGUCGGUGGAGCGUGUGUGUGACUUUUGAUCUCGAGAUUGUGAGUUCCAGCCCAUGUUGGGUGUAGAGAUAACUGAAAAAUAAAAUCUUAAAAAAAAAAAAAAUGGUACCCAAAUCUAGUUUCAGUUUACAUCUCUUAGCCUAAGAAUUUUUUUCAUCUUUGUACCUGUUACUUGUACCUCUUUCUAAUAAGCUGGGGCUUAUUUUUCAUGCUUGAAUUUUGGCCAAUAUAGAGUUCAUCCUGGGACCGUAUAAAAUAUGAAUCUGAGAAUUUUUUUUCUGGCAUCUCUUACUAGAAAGCCCAUCCCUACCUACUCACUGGUUUGAGGUGCUGCCUUUAUAUGUUUUUAGGUGUGAGAUUCUCUUAGUACCCAGGUCUGUUUCUGGAUGUUAUGCUCUGUUCCUGUUGGUCUGUCUGGUUGUUUUACUUUUACACCUUCACGUUUGUCUUUCUCAGUUUCCUGGCAUGCUUGGGGGGCGGUCAACCCUACUCUAAGGUCAGAUUCAAUCUAUAGUACUUCCAUCGUUUAUGUUGAAAUCUUUGGUUGGUCUCAAAUUCAUGUUGGUAUAAGGACUAUUUCUUUGGUGAGAACUCUUAUGUGUUUAUUUCCCUCUCACUCUGAGCUGGUUUUACCAGUCUGAUUGGGAUUUAACUAUUCAUGGGCUACACAACUCUUUCGUUUUUUUCCCAGACCUCAGGUGGCAUUGUCUUUGGUCUCACUUCAGUUUAACAGAUUGACACUGUGGUAUUUAUACCAACGUAUUCAUGAGUAGCUACUUCUGGGUAAAGACAGAUUGAAAUAAUCAAAUGCACAUUUUGAUACUGUUCCUUUCCAGGAGCCACAAACAGGCACUUCUUAGGCAAAACACGGUGAAAAGGCAAUGUACCUUGUGGGGUCUGCUGUGUAGUAUUUGCAACUGCCAUGCAAAAGAGAAGAAUAAGAUGAUAGGAUGAGUUCAUGAACUUCAGCACCCUUGGCUGUGCCGAAGGGAGGCUCUUAGCCACUGAGGCCCUGUUGAUGGUCUACACACGUAUUCUCCACAGAAGGGGUCUGAUCCAGAGGGGAGAUGGAAGCCGCUUUGGGUGCAAGGGAGUCGUCCCUACAUCCUUUUCAGCCUCCUCGCCCUGUGGGAACACUGUACACCCACCUGGGGUGUUGAGAUUUGGCAAGGUGAUCCACAGUUGUGAUUUUGUGAAUUCCAACCCACUGGCCUCAUAUUUCUUCUGCCUUGUUUCCGAUUGUCAGCACUGGCCAUCCUCCAGUUUGAUUUUACCACUAAUUGUGUUGCACGUUACCGUACCGAAAUGAAUCAAAUCAAAAUGCUUUUCCUGGAGCAUUAGAUAAAGCAGGCGAAGGUUCUGAGUAAUGAGCAGAUGCUGCUAAUGCGGGGACAGUGGGGACCUUGCCAGGACUCCAUCUGCUCCAUGCUUGCCUGCCUCUGGCCCCGAGCCACAGCACGAGGGAAGGCAGUGUACUCGAAACCCGCUCCCCGUUCACAGAGUUUGUCUUGAAAACUCACUGUUGGGUGAGAAAUGAGAUGGCACCCUUCGUAGGUGCAAAGAAGUUCUCGUCUGGCCCCCUGAGUGGACAGGAGAGACACGGCCCGGUGGGUAUUAGCUAGCGUGUGGAAGCCAGGCCGGGAUAGCCAACAGUCGUCCUGUGCCACCGUCCGGCAAGGCGGAGUGGCUUCUCCACUUGUGCGGCACUCCCAGCACAAUUGUCGCAACACAUACAUGCUUCGUUGUCCCAGGGCUGGGGUGACUGUCAUUUCUCACUUCCUGGCGUAGGAACAAUGGAUGGGAGUGGGUCUCUCCGGGGCCUCGGUAGGACCGUGUUUUAGUUAGGCGGCUUUGAUGGAGACUGGGUGCUUUUUAAGCUUUGCUUAUAAUUGUAUGUUUAACAAAAAAAUGAAUUCUUUGGUUUGCUUAUGUGUCUUGUGUGUAUGUUGAUGGUGACAUUUGAAUAUAAUGACAUAACUUGUGACUAUAGUAACAUACAAUUACGGCCCCGCCUCCCCCCCCAAUCAAGAUAGAAGUUUUAGAAGUGGAACAUUAACAUGUCAGAGCAUCGCUUGGGAGGUGGCUCAGACACCUGGCUGUGGAUUAUGGAGGAUUUUUUUUUUUUUUUUUUUUUUUUGCCAAGGCCUUUCUUUGCUGUUCAUUUUUCUCUUCAGUUUCAGUAACUAGUUUUUGUUUGAAACCUCUGCCUACCCUUGGGUCUAGGAGUCUUCCUCAGAUAUUUGACAAAACAAAAUGCAACCACUUUCUGACAGCCCCCCAAAUACUGGGUAUAGUGCUUUUAAAAGAUAGGAUACAUUGAUAGACAUGAACAAUGAACAGUAGGAACGCUCACAUUGUCAAGUUCCUCGGAGCGGAAUUAAACCCUGAAAUGCAGAGUUCUGAACUGAGGUCAUUCUUUUCAGUGUUGAGGGAGUAUUUCUGGGGGGAUUGAACUUGAAAGUGGACUGCCAUCUGGCAUGGGCUGGAGUGCUACAUUGUGUUUCAUAGACAUGCCAUAGGGACUGUGCAUAUGCAGGACGUUUUUGAAUAAAAAAAAACUUCGGGGGCUCCUGGGUGGCUCAGUCAGUAAAGCAUCCAACUCUUUCUUUCUUUCUUUCUUUUUUUUUUUUUAACUUCACGUUUACUUAUUUUUGGGAGACAGAGAGGGCGAAUGAGAACAAAUGGGGGAGGGGCACAGAGAGAGGGAGACACAGAAACCCAAGCAGGCUCCAGGCUCUGAGCUGUCAGCCCAGAGUCCAACGCGGGGGUUGAACUCACAAACCGCAAGAUCAUGACCUGAGCCAAAGUUGGACGCUUGACCGACUGAGCCACCAGGUGCCCCUAAAACAUUCAACUCUUAAUUUGGGCUCAGGUCAUGAUCUCACAGUCAUGAGAUUGAGCCCUAUGUCAGGCUCAUCUCUGGGUUGUGGAGCCUGCUUAAGAUUGGCUGACUCUCUCCCUCUCAAAAAAAUAAAAAAUCUUUUAAAAGUUUUUCCAUUUUUGGUGAGAAGAGUUUGGCAUUAUAUUGCACACUUGGUUACAUAUGCUUUGGGCUGAGUUGCACACUUUGGGUUACAUAUGCUUUGUUCCUCAAAUGGGAAUUUAGAGAUAAAGUCUUGAGCAGGAGCUGUGAGAUCUCUACAAAAGGUUUGUUCUGUUUAAAUCUGUAUUUUAUAGGAAUCUAAAAAAAAAAAAGAAAAACAAAACUGGAUCCUUUGACCUUGUAACUGAACCAUACUGCAUGAUCUCAGUGUUUGAAUUUGCAUUUUGUGUUCCCAGCCUAUUGGCACCAAGUGAUCACAUGACCUACAUACCUUGUGGUUGUUUGUCAUGCUGCGGGUCCACAGGUGACUUUUUAGAAGUCUGCAAUCUCUCAAAUUUAAGAAACACUGGGGAGGGAAGUUCUUAUGCUAUAGGCACAGAUUAGCAGAUGAUAAAUUUCUAGGAUAACCACACGUUUUUGAAGUUACUAAUGAAAAGAACUUGAAACAAUUUUUCUCAUGCGGAAAGUGGCACAUUAAAUUUAUGGGAGGAGAUUUGGUGGUAAUCUGAUUUAUUGCGUGGUUUUCCUGAAAACUGAUUUUUUUUUUUAAUGUUUAUUUCUUUUGAGAGAGAGAGCACAAGCAGGGGAGGGGCAGAGAGAGGGAGAGAGGGGGAAAGAGAGAAUCCCAAGCAGGCUCUUCGCUGUCAGUGCAGAGCCUGACAAGGGGCUGGAUCUCACAAACUGGGAGACCAUGACCUGAGCCGAAAUGAAGAGACAGGUGCUCAACUGACUGAACCACACAGGCGCCCCUGAAGCCUGAUAUUUAGUAACACACAGGAUGAUGCAUUAAAUUCCAUGUAUUUGUCCUGUCUUAUUAAAGUUGAGAUUAAAAACAGAAAGGAACAAAAAAUAGUGCAAAGUAUUUUUCCAGGGAGACGGUUGGAGACUACAGAAAUAAAUUGUCAGAGUUCUUAAAUGUACCUAAUGAAAUCCAAACAUUAAUUUGUUGUUUUGGAGCCUGAUAAAUCAGAUCAGCGUGAAAAUUUAAUUUCCCUUUCAAUACUUGUAAUUUUGAUUGUAGCGUUUAUUCUGUACUAAACCCUAGGGCUCUGUUAAAGCAGAAGUAAACAUACUCGUGGAGCGUGUUUUUGUUUUAAAAGCAAGAUGUGCCCGCUUGUCUGCCAUUCCAGUCAAAAGGCUGUUAGGCAAGCUGCAGUAGAGUAGGAAGGGAGCCCAGUGGGGCCAGGGACAGGUGGAGGAGGGAGUCUGAACAGUGGCCUGGCGGGUGUGGGAGGUUGGCAGCAUCGAGGGAGAUAGAAUUAGGUAAGUAUAUUAAGGAUCGUGGAAGCCAGUUUUCUCACUAUUGGAGAAGGGAGUUACAGGCAUGGAAGAGAGCGAUCCAGAUGAACCCUGUGGUGCUGGAUUGGAAUAGGAGGUGUCCGUGUGGAAUUCAUGGUUUUCAACAUAGAUGGAGAAGCGAGUAGAGAUGUACAUGCACUAGUACGUGUGUCCUAGCUUUGUUUGCUGGGAAGGUGUAGGAGCAGUAAUAGUCCGGUAGCAGUGAACACAUGUAGUGCUCAGAUCUUAAAAAUACGAGUCUCCACUGAAAGGAAUCGGGGCUGCUUGGCAAAGAGGUUGACUCCAGGGCUGGGCUAGGGAAAGAAUGAAAUAAGGCUGGAACAUCCUACUGUACCAGGGAAUAUGGAAGUGCUUAAGGAAUAAGGGUGACGUGUCAAAAGAACACAGAAGCUACCUUGAAGGCGUUCUCACUGGCCAAACCUGGGACAAUUUGAAUAUCAGAAUAAUGCUAGUAACAGAUUACAACUUACCAGACAAAAUAGGAAUCCUUGAGUUACACACUUAAAGUAGAGUGUCACCUAACAAAUACAGAAGGAAUGAUGGCAUUAGAAAAUCAUUAAUUGGCAGUUAGGAUGAUGAUAAUUGAGACCAAAAAAAAAAAAAAAUCUAUUGAUGCUAAAACUAGAGAUGAGAAGAAGACAAGGGAUAGGAUUUUACAUCUCAAAGAAGCUCCCUGCCAAACACUAAUUAAUUACAGAGUGAGGAAAAAAAGUAACUUUGUAGUCAAGUCUGGCAGAUGCCAAAUUAAUAAAGUGGUCACAUUCAACAUCAGUAAUGGGACAAAUUGACAUCCUGUGCUACUUAAUAGAAUACAUUGAGACAAACACAGAAUUGCUUCUGUGAUAUUCCAGUCAAAAAGGAUAUAGCCUGGUCGAAUCAUGAGGAAAUAUUAGAAGACCCAAAUUGAAGGACAUUCCACAGAAAGACUGAUCUGACUCCUAAAAAGCUGUCAAACUCAUGAAAGUGUUAAAAAAGAAAAUAUUCCAGGUUGAAGGAGACAAGACAAGGGAGUGCCAUGUGUUAUCCCAGAUUGGAUCCUUUUGCUAUGAAGGACGUUACUGGAACAAUUGGAAAUGGGAUCUGAAUAAUGGGUAUGUAGAAGUUCUUGCAAGUUUUCUGUAAUUGUCAGAUUAUUUCACCGUAAGUUUAAAAAAAACAAACUAACAACUUUUGCUUCUGAUUAAGAUGAACUAACAGGGAGUAGAUUUAUUCUUCUGCCUUAAACAACCAGAAAACCAGACAGAAUAUAUUAAACAGUUUUCAGACAUUGAUCUUCUUUAAGGGAUCAGAGUCUUGGACUACGUGUUUUUCAAACACGCUUACCAACCAGAAACAGCUUACCAACUAGAAACAACCCAGUACAAGGAAAGGGAACCUGAACAGAACCUGGACCUCACUGAGUUGAGGAGACACCAAGAGGUCAAGGAAGCCAAGAUGGAAAGAAUUUGUGGGCCAGAGUGUCAGGGAGGAGGGAGCUGCACAAAGGGAGACCUCUGCAGAUCUAAAGGGACCCCUCUGUCUUUGAGUACUGAUGUGCCCGUGUGUGAGAAGAAAUACCCAAGACCAGGGAAAUAACUGCCAGAAAAGGAGAAGGCAGAACAAUUUUUGAAGCUCACAUGGGGUUAGGAAUAGUUUUCAUUCCCACCAAACAUCAGGGAAAGAGCUCUCUCUUCUUAUAAGGCCAUUGAUCCUAUCAUGAGGGCCCCCUCUCAAGACUUAAUCUAAUCCCAAUCACCUCCCCAAAACCCCAUCUCCAUAUAGCAUCACAUUGGGGCUUUAAGCUUCCACUUGUGAAUCUGAGGGGAGACAAACAUUCAGUCCAUAGCUUUACAAGAAAGCUGUUUUAAGUAUGAAGAUACAAGUAGGUUAAAAGGAUGGGCAGUUAUACCAUGCAAGCAUAAAUCAAAAGAAAGCUGGAGUGGCUAAAUUAAUUUCAAACAAAGUAGAUUUUAUUUUUUUUAAUUUAAUUUAAUUUUUUAAUGUUUGUUUUUGAGAGAGAGAGAAAGAGGUGAGUGGGCAAGGAAUAGAGAGAGAGGAAGACACAGAAUCCGAAGCAGGCUCCAGGCUCCGAGCUGUCAGCACAGAGCCCAAUGUGGGCUUGAACUCACGAACUGUGAGAGCAUGACCUCAGCCGAAGUUGGAUGCUUAGCCAACUAAGCCACCCAGGCACCCUAAACAAAGUAGAUUUUAGAACAGGGAAUAUUAUCAGGGAAAAAAGGGACAUUUCAUAGUGAUAAAAGGGGUCAGUUCAUCAAGUGGAUAUAAAAACCCUAAAUAUGUAUGCGUCUAAUAACACAACUUCAAAAUACACAAAAGCUGACCAGUGAAAGGGGAAUAGACAAAUUCAUAAUUAUAGUGGAAAUUUCAGGCACUUUGAUUUCAGUAAUUGAUGCAGGUAAUCAGUAAUUAGUAAGGUCAUACAAGAUUGAACAACAUUGUCAAUAAUUGACAUUUAUAGAACUUUAUCCGCAGCAACUACAAAAUACACAUUCUUUUCAGGUAGAUCAAGACAGUCUAUGUUCUGGGCCAUAAAAUUAGUUUCAGUAACUUUAAGACGAUUGAUAUCCUACAAAAUGUGUUUUCCCACAAAGUAUGUUUUUGGACAACUACAGAAUUAAAGUGAAAAUAACAAAAUAGCUAUAAAACCUGCAAGUCCUUGGAAAUUAAACAACACACUUUCUUAAAAAUUUAUUUUUUUACUUCAGUUUUGAGAGAGCGUGAGAAUGGUAGAGGGGCAGAAAGAGAGGGAGACACAGUAUCUGAAGCAGGCUCCAGGCUCCGAGCUGUCCCCUCAGAGCCCCAUGUGGGGCUCAAACUCCUGAACGGUGAGCUCAUGACCUGAGCCAAAGUCGGAUGCUUAACCGACUGAGCCACCUAGGCGCCCCUGAACAGCACACUUCUAAAUAACCCAUAAGUUAAAGAAGAGGGACGCCUGGGUGGCCCAGUUGGUUGAGCAUCCAACUUCGGUUCAGGUCAUGAUCUCCCAUUUCAUGAGUUCCAGCCCUGUGUCGGGCUUGCUGCUGUCAGCGCGGAGCCUGCUUCAGAUUCUCUGUUCCCGCCUCUCUCUGCUUCUCCCCCACUCAUGCUCACUCGUUCUCAAAAAUAGACAUUAAAAAAAUAAAUCAGGUAAUAUUUUGAAUGAAAAUGAAAAACCGUAUAUCAAAGUGUAUGCAGUGUAGCCAAAGCAGUGCUUAGAGGGAGAUUUAAAGCAAUAAAUGCUUACAUUAGAAAAAAGUCUCAAGUCCAUGAUCUCACUUUUCACCUUAACUAGAAAAAGAGCAAAUUAAAAUAAGCAGGAGAAGUACAAUAAUAAUAGGAAUCCAUGAAAUUGAAGGGGAAAAAAUACAGGAAAAUCAAAACUGGUUUGUUUAAAAAAAAAAAUCAAGUUGACAAGCACUAGUCAGAAUGAUUAGGGGGAAAAAAACCCAACAUCAGGAAUGCAAAAGGAACAUCAUCACAGAUCUUACAGAUGUUAAGACUGCACUGAAAAAUUAUGAACAACUUUACACCAGUAAAUUCAUCCUCUUAGAUGAAGUGGAUAAAUUGACUUUUUGAAAGACACAAGCUACCAAAAUUCACUUAAGAACUAAAAAGCUUAAAAUAAAAUUCAAGUCCAGUGGCUUUACUGGAGAAUUCUACCAAGGGUCUAAGGAAGUAAUAAUCCUGUAUACUUUCAUAAAAUAGACUAGGAGGGAACACUUUUCAAUGAGAUCAGCAUUACCCUCAUACCAAAACCAGAUACGAAAAAAAUAACUGGUGUAUGAAAACAAGGAAACUACAGAUCAAUAUUCCACGUGAAUAGAAGUGUAAAAAUGCUUAACAAAGUACUGUAAAAUGGAGUCCUACAAUACAUUGAAAGGAUAAUACAUCAUAGCCACUUAAGAUUCAUCCAGGGAAUUUAAGGUUAGUUUAACACUUGAAAAUCAUUUCAUUAUAUUAACAGAUUAUAAAAGAAAAACUGAUCAACUCAAUGAAACAGAAAAAAAUAUUUGACGAGAACCAAUUAGUAUUGAUGAUUAAAAACUCCUGGCUGACUGGGGUGCCUGGUGGCUCAGUCGAUUAAGCAUCCAACUUUGGCUCAGGUCAUGAUCUCGUAGUUUGUGGGUUCGAGCCCCAUGUUGGGCUCUGUUGAUGGCUUGGAGCCUGGAGCCUGCUUUGGAUUCUGUGGCUCCCUCUCUCUCUGCCCCUUCCCCGCUUAUGCUCUCUCUCUCUCAAAAAUAAACAUUAAAAAUUGAAAAACAAAAAGACUCCUGGCUGAGUGACAUAGAAAGGGACCUUUCAGGGUGCUUGGGUGGCUCAAUCAGUUGAGUGUCCGUCUUCAUUUCAUUUCAGCUCAGCUCAUGAUUUCACAGUUUGUGGGUUCGAGCCCCAUGACAGGCUCUGUGCUGAUAGUGGGGAGCCUGCUUGGGAUUCUCUCUUUUCCUGUCAUCCACUUGUGUGUGCAUGCUCUCUCUCUCAAAAUAAACUAAAAAAAAAAAAAAAAAAAAAAAAAAGACCUUUCUAUGAAAGACCUACAGCUAACUUCAUAAUGGUACUUUUACAUAAUGGUAAAAGGCCAGGCUUUCUCAAAAUUGGAAACAUGGCAAGGAUGUCCACUUUUACUGCUGUUACCCAACACUGUAUUGGAAGUCCUUCUUAGUCCACUCAUGCCAGAAAAAGAAAGGGCAUACAGAUAGAAAAAAGUAAGAGUGGUUGUAGAUAAAUUGUCUUUGCAUAAAAUCCUAAACAGUCAACAAAAAUGUCACUAGAACUUGUAAGUAUCUUUAGAACUGUCACUGGAGGUGAGAUCAGUAUGCAAAAAACCAGUCGUAUUCAAGUUAGCAACAGACAGUUGGAAAAACAUAAGCUAAUUGGGAUUAAUUCAACAAAUAUUCAGCAAAAUAUGUGUAAGACCUAUGAGCUGAAAACUACAAAAUACUGAGAGAAAUUAAAGCCCAAAUGAAUGUAGAGACUUAUAUUCAUGGAUUGGAAGAUUAAAUGCUGUUGAGAUUCAGCUGUCCCCUCAAUGACCUAGAGAUUCAGUUCAAUCCCAAUCAGAAUCCCUGAAGAAUUUUUUUUCUUUUGAUAGAAAUUGAUAAGCUUUUUCUAAAAUUUAAAAUCUAAAAAUGCAUAGGACCAAGAAUAGCAAGGAACAAUUUUGAAAAAGAAGUACAAAGUUGGUAGAGUUACCCUAUCCAAUUUCAAGGUUUACUGUGAAACUAGUAAUCAAAACAGUGUAACAAUACUGGCCUGAGGAUAGACCCAUAGGCCACCGGAACAGAAUAAAGUCCAGAAAAACCCACCCACUGAUUUUUUUUUUUAAUUUUUUUUUUCAACGUUUAUUUAUUUUUGGGACAGAGAGAGACAGAGCAUGAACAGGGGAGGGGCAGAGAGAGAGGGAGACACAGAAUCGGAAACAGGUUCCAGGCUCUGAGCCAUCAGCCCAGAGCCUGACGCGGGGCUUGAACUCACGGACCGAGAGAUCGUGACCUGGCUGAAGUUGGACGCUUAACCGACUGCGCCCCCCAGGCGCCCCCCACUGAUUUUUUAAUAAAAGUGCCAAGGUCAUUCAAUGAAGAAAUGAUUGUCUUUUCAACAAAUGAUGUCGAAACAAGCAGAUAGCUCUAUUCCUUUUUAUCCCUGCCUGUGAACCUCUACUUUUACUCCAUGCUAUCUACAAGUGAACUCAAAUGGAUUAUAUAGACUUAAAUAUAAAAUUUUCGGACUAAAAGUAGAAAAAUCUUUGAGACCUUGGCUGGGCGAAGAUUUCUUAGGACACAGAAAGCACAAAUUGUAAAAUAAAAAAAAAAUGUUAGACUUCGUCAAGUAAAAACCUUUGAUCGUGAAGAUACUAAGAAAAUGAAAAGGCAAGCUACAGAUUGGCAGAAAAUAUUUGCAAAACACAUCUGAUGUAGGACUUACAUCUAGAAUAUAUGAAGAACAUUUAUAGUUCAAAUAUAAGAAGACAGCCUAUUAAAAGUAGGAGAAGGUUUGGAUAGACCUUUCAGAGAAGACCUAUAAAUGGAAAGUAAACACAUGAAAAGAUGCUCAGCACCAUUAAUCGUUAGGGAAAUGUGAAUUAAAACCAUUAUGAAGUAUACUGUUGCACAUAAUACACCGGCUUUAAAAGACCGAUAAUACCACAUGUUGGUGAGACUGGUGGAGUUGGCACUUUCUUUCCUUGCUGGUGGGAAUGCAAAAUGGCGCAGCCACAUGGGUAAACAGGUUGGCAGUUUCUUACAAAACUAAACACAAACUCACCAGAUGACCCAAGCACUCCCACUCCUAUAUAAUCCAAGAGAAUGAAACCUAUGUUCACACAAAAACUUGUACUUGAAUAUUUAUAGAAUUUUAUUUUUUUAAUAUAAUUUAUCAAAUUGGCUGACAUACAGUGUGUAUGGUGUGCUCUUGGUUUUGAGGGUAGAUUACUAUAGUUCAUUGCUUACAUGCUAUAACAUUUUAAUCAUGGUAGCUCCAAACUGGAAGCCACGUAGAUCAAUAUUAACCGAUGAAUGAGUAGGUGUAUUGUAGUACAUCCAUACAAUAGGCCAUCGCUCGUCAAUUUUAGACAACAAACUACAGAUACAUGCAACAAUACAGAUAAAUCUUAGUAGCGCUAAUGCUAAGUAAAAGAAGCCAGCCACAAAAGAGUACGUACUAUAUAAUUCUGUUUAUGUGGAAUUCUAGAAGAAGCAAAACUAUGACAGAAAGCAAGUGAAUAGUUGCCAGGGGAAGGUGACUGUCAAAAGUGCGGUGGAAAUAUUCUGUUAUGAUUGGGUGGUGGUUACGGGACCAUAAAUAUUUGUUCGUAUCCAAUAGUGCAUUUAAAGUUGAUGAGGUUUUUUUUUACAUGUAGGUUAGAACUACAUGAUUUUUUAACAUAUUUUUAAAAGACCAAAAAGCCCCAUUUCAAGAUUUUCUACAAUAUAGUUGGUGCUACUCUUGGGAAGUUUUGUUUUGUUGGUUUUUGCUCAUCAGGAAAGGUCAAGAUUCUGAAAUGUGUUAGAGUCCAAGGACAAGAGUGCUUUUCAUCUCGGUUCUAGAGUUGAGUGGAUGCUUGAGAGCAGAUAAUUCCUCUGGUGGCUCAUGGCCACCAGGACAUGUUUAGUGAUUGAAGUUUUUGUUGUGUCUUUAAUUUAACAAUAAUCUUUCGUGAAGAAAUCUGGACCUAUUUUCAAAGAAAUACAAAGUAAUAGAUAUUGUAUUUAUGGGAUCAUAGUAUAGUGGUAGCAGGCAUGGCCAAAAAUAGUGGCUAUAUGUACCUGGAAUUGUUCCUCUUUCUUUGUGCUUAACUCUGCUCUGAAAUAGGACUUAAAACCCAGGAUCAUGCGAUAUUACAAAAAAAAAAAAAAAAAAUUCCUGGAUAAGCAACUCUCCUCAAUUCUUUAUUCCAAGGCCAUGGAAGACUUUUCUGCAUAUUUUAAAGAGCUUAUGACCUUUGAGGCAAAGACCUGGCUUUUAUUCUAAUUCCUAAGAGUUGCAGGCAUGCAUUGUGCUACCCUAGUAACAAUAAGCGCAGCUAGUGCCCAGAUCUUGGUCUCUAAAUAUCAUUAAUUCUUCAGUGAGUGGAACCAGUGCUAGGAGAGACAAAUACAAGAUGAGUCUGGAACAUCUUGUGGGACCAGAAAGUAAGGAUGGACCAAAAAAAAAAAAAAGUGGGUAAGAUGGCAGGAGGAGGUUCUCUUUAUAGGAAACUGGAAACAAACUGGAGCUCCUUCCCAACGGCAAAAUCAGGGGCAGUUCAAGCAACAAAAUAGGAUAUUAAUGGAUUAUAGCCUAUAGAAUAAAGUAAAUAUCCACGAGUCCAUGCCAGUAUAAAUAAAUAGUUAAAUAAAUAAGCAAGGGAGAAGAGUCAGCUCUUCUGUACAAUAGCAUUUCAAUUAAUGAAUUUCUCUAUAUGGAGGAGUGAUGAAAAUAGAAACUCAUUUGGCAAGUGCUAGAAUAAUUCUUACAGGCAAGAAUCAAUGGAUGCUAAAAUUAGUAUGAUGAAAAACAGGAUAUGGUGAAUAAUGAGAAAUUGACAUCAUGUACCUCCUGAUUCACUGAAAAGGCACGUUACUUCUGUGCUACUUAUGUCAAAAAAUGCAUAACCUGAUUUUAACCAUGAGUAAACAUUAGACAACUGAGAGAUCUUCUAUAAGAUACAUGGUCAGUACUUUUCAAGUGUCAGGGACAGGAAGGACGAAGAUAGAUUGAGGAAUUGUCUCAGAGCAAGGAGACAUGACAAAUGCAACAUGGAAUUCUGAAUUGGAUCCUGGACGGGGUCGGGGGUGGGGGAAGGAUUUUGGUGAACCACUUCAUGAAAUGGAAAUAAGGUCUAUAGGUUAAACAUCUUGUAUCAAUGUUAAUUUCCUGGCUUUGAUCAUGUUACUGUGGUUAUGUAGUAUGUUAACAUCGGGGAAGCUGGGUGCAAGGUCAACUGUAACUCCUUGUAUGAUUUUUAGAGCUUUUUUGUAAGUCUCAAAUAUUUCAAAAUUAAAAAAUCAUUAAACAAGGUAAAUUUUUCUCAUAGCAAUUUAAAAUGCCAUGUAUUUAUAUGCUGAUUACUCAGGGAAAAAAAAUGUGCCUGACCGUUUUCUUUUUCGCUGAAUUGGGAGCCUGAUAUUCGAUGAGAUUAGGACCUAGGUUCUUCUGGUGGUGAUUCUACGAUUAAGGAUUCUCCACAUACUUUGUGUCUGUAUUUUGCUAUUUGGGCUAUUCUUUCCCCCUUUUAUUUAAUGCAUGAUGGUAUGAGUGAUAUUUCAUUUCCAAAGAAUACUUUUUAAAGAAUGAUAUAGCCAUUUUAUUUUAUUAUUUAAAUUUUUUUUUCACAUUUAUUUAUUUCAGAGAGUGAGACAGUGUGUGAGCGGGGGAGGGACAGAGAGGGAGGACACAGAAUCUGAAGCAUAGCCAUUUUAUUUUAAAAUGUCAGUAUUUAGCAGUAUGCCAGAAGUUAGGGGUUUUUUUGGUGUGUUUUUUGGUUUUUGGGUUUUUUUUUUUGCCACUACACGAUAAACAAGAUUUUUCGGUUUUAUAUGUAAGAUAUGAAAGGGAGACCUGAUUUGCCAAAAUAAUUUUGGGGGGGGGGUAAACAAAAAAGUCUGAAGACCACUAGUCUUUAAGGCACGUGGAUCCGUGGGUCUGGAGUUCAGAGGAGAAUCUGUAUAGGGCUGUUGUAAUCCACACCUGCCCCUGUCUUGUCCCCCAGGGAGCACCUAGGGACAUGGGGGCGCCCCAGCUUAAACAUUCUUGGCCCUCCUGGCAAAACCCAUCCACAUGCAGGGAGAUUUGCAUUGGGGGUUUCAGAUGCCUAAGUGAAAUGUGAGAUCAUCUGCUGUUCCCUUUCUCCUUCUUGUUUGGCGUAACUCAGAGUUGACUACAGUGGUGCCAUAAUCUAAAUCUUUGAUUUUUUCUACUUUUCCUUUGAGCCAUGUAAUACUUUUAUUGAAAGAGAAUUCAUUGAUAGUAUGAUUUCAGAAUAUUUCGAGGGCUUGGAAGGGGAUUUCCAAAACCUGCAAAAUGUCAUCGCUGGAAUUUCCAUUGCAAAUCUGUUCUGAGACUACACUAAGUUCGGAGCGUAGCUCCUGAAAACUUUUGCAAAAUACAAGUUCUGUGUCUUCACUUUUGUCAGUGAUAGCUUUUCAAAUUAUUUUUAAGAAUCCUUUUAUUGUAGGAAAUUCAAAAUACACAAAAUUGGGGAGAAUAGGGUGAUGAAUCCCCAUGUACCCAUCAUUCUGCUUCAGUAGUCCUGAGCGUUAUCUUCAAUCACGCAUUUCUAAAUAUUAUAUAGUUCUGUCACUUAGCACAUGAGUGGAACUGUUUUUGAAGAUAGACCUAUUUGCCUUUUAGUAACAAAUAAACUUUUUGAAAAGAGAAAGAACAAGGAGAUAAAGACUUACCCUGGGCUACUCUUGGCCUGGGCUCUCUUGCACCUGUCUGGUCAGGAAAGUGGUGGCGGUGUUGCGUACUCCUUUGGAGUUUAAUUCACCUUAACCUAUCACUGAGUCAGAAGUAGAAUUUGUAUAUCAGAGUUAAAUGUUGAUUAUAAAAUUAUGUGGACCGUGAUUGGGAAAAAUGAAAAAAAUCUCAUCACAAAUCAUGUUAAUAUUUAUAAAGGUAUGUAUACAAAUUAUAAUAAAAUUUUUGAGAUAGUAUAACAUGUAGGAAAAAUUCAAAUUGUCCCAAAGGAUGUGUAGUGAAGAAUAAGUGUUCUUUCUCUACCCACCACCACUGUCCCGAUUGCCCAGUACCAUAGUUUGUGCGCUGGAGGCAUCACCUAGUACCACUGUCAGAUGGACUCUUCAAAAUAUAUUCCAGGUUAUGUUUAUAUUGCUCCAUUAUAGUGUAGGAAGACACUGGCUGGAGCUGGCAGGGUUGGUGGCUGCGUGCAUAGUGAUGUCUCUUUCGCAUUCUCUGCCUCCUUGGCACUUCCCCUUGUGGAAGACCUGGUCCGGAUGCUUCCCCAUGAAUCUGUUUUUCCUUGGACUCCGUUACUCUGAAUUCUUCUACGGAGUCACAUUGUCCUGUCUUACGAUCUGUUAUUUGAUUCCUUUUCAACUUACUGUCUUUUCUCAUUUUUUAUUUUUAAAAUGUUUUUCUUCUGCUUUGAACCUGAGACUCCUAACUAUAUUCAUCUUGCUUUCUUCUUGACUCUCUUUCUGCUUUGGUGAUCUCUCAUCCGGUCGCUGAUCUGUUGUGCCUAACCAGCCACUUGAUCGGUCCAUGAGCCCAUUCAGAUUCUCGGCAGUCCAAAGUACAGCUUCCAGAAUGCUUCCUAUGUGUUGUUUUUCUCCACAUCACAGGGUUCAGGUUUAGAGUUGUGUUCGGCUGCAGUGUUGAGGAUGAACAUGCACGGUAGACGCUUUGUCUUAUUCCAGACCUUCCAUACCGAGCACUUCAACAUGACCCUUGUUUGCACUGAUAUUAACCUCCCUGGCCACCUCUUCCAUAAAAGCAAAAUUUAUUUUCUCCUUUCAAACUCAUGCCACCUUUACACCUCUGGCCUCUAUCUCAUAGUGCUGUUGUAUGGACUUGAUGAAUGAGGCAGUACACAGUUAGUGAAUGCAAUGGGUAGAUCUUAAAUUUUUGUUAAAAUGCUUUUUCUCUUGUCAAGGAGUUUUUUUGGCUCCUGUUUAUUUAUAGGCAAGUGUUUACAGGGUGGAAAUUGAAGUUACAAGCUGUUUUUAAAAAUAGUUUCAUUCACUGUUCUCUGAACUGCAGUUAGAUGACCCUGCCCACAUGACUACAGCAGUGCCCCCUUAUCUGUGAUUUCAGUUUCUGCAGCUUCAGUUACCCACAGCCACUGUGGUCUGGGGGGGGGGGUCCUCGGUCAGUGGUAGUCUAAUGCUACCUCAUGCACAUCGUUCCAUCUCUUCACGCAGGUGUGUUAUUAUCUCACAUCAUCGCAAAAAGAGGGAUGAGUUCAGUUCAAUAAGAUACUUUGAGAGAGAGACCACAUUCACGUGACUUUUGUCACAAUAUAGUGUUAUAAUUGUGCUAUUUUAUUGUUGAUCUCUUACUGUGCUUUUUUUUUGUUUAUAAAUUAAACUUUAUCAAAGGUAUGUAUGUAAAGGAAAAAACACAGUACCUAGCGGGUUUGGAACUGUCCAUGGUCAGGCAUGUCCUGGGGAUCUUGAAACGUAUCCCCCACAGGUAAUGGGGGGUCGAUUACUGUGGUCAGAAACUGCCCUACGCCUCAGGUGUUUACUGUCCAAGCUCAAGAGGAUAGGAGCUCAUGGCUACAAUAAGUUCUAAUCAAGGAAGCACUAAAGACCACAAGACACUCUGUGGUUUAAGAAGUGACUAGUCUGUGACUUUCUAAACUGUCAACCUGUUUUAAAUUUUAAUGGUGCUUGAAAAAGAUCAAAGGGGAGGGGGCAGGGCCAGUUGUGUGUGGUGUGUUUCCCCGCCCCCCCCCCCCAAAACCAGUUCAGCAGUUAUUUACCUUUCAAGCAAUUAACAUAAUUACCAUUAUGCUAAAAAGUAAUUUUGGAAAGUUCUGCCCUGAGCUCUUACGACCCCACCGGGACAGUUUUAGUUGGGACUUAUCUUUUUGAUGGAAGCCUAAUUGCAAUUUUGGCUUUGUGCACACAAACAGAAGCAGCUAAUUGUUUAGGCAAAUAGCAGAUUAAUUUAAAUAUGCAUCCCUAAUAAAACAAAAAUGGUAUCCAUUAUGGUCCUUGUUCCCAUGACGAGGAAUAUAAAUAUUCUGUGCAAGUACCAUUAGGCGGAGGUCUUAAGGAUUGUCGACAUUAUUUCACAGUGGUAGCACUUUCCUGAUAUCGAGUAAUCUUUACAAAAGCUCACAUAAAUCAGUUUAAACUCAUUUAGAUCCCAUUUCCACUAUGUGCAGUUUCAUUACCACACUCUGGCUGGCCUCCUCCGGGAGGUGGGAGGGGCAUGUCGCAAACUGGCAUGGGUGCCCACCACAGCUGCUGAGCAGGCUUUGUGUCUCCUCAGAAGACUGGCCAUCGUUACUCAUGUCAUUGUUAACAACCGUUCCCCGGUCUAGGGUGAGCUCCGAGUUGCUUCCGCCCUGCUGCCGCUUGUCAGAGCCCCACUCCCGUCUCCUCGAUUGGGCCGAGGGCCCUCACUCAUUGUGCUCUUCCAGAUUUUUUGACAGACCCUUUUUCUUCUUUCGUCUGCAUCCAUUUCAUAUUUCUCGUGGAUGAAGUCGUGUUGUCGUGAGGCUGGCACUGGCUCAGAGUUGAACAUCCUUCAUCCAACUCUUGAGGUUUCGUCAGGGAGAAAGAAAGACCUCUGCUCUCCUUUUAGUUUUCCCGGUGUGGGGCAAAUAAAUGGGGGCCGUGAGCUCUGGCGCUUAGGGAUCAUGGCUUGUUCAGGAAAUGAUGGCAGUGACCUGCUUUUUAAGUCACUACUGAGGAACUAACUACAUAGAUCCUGCCUUUGCAUUUGCUAAGACAUUUUCUCGUUUUCCCCUGGCCUGACUUGCAGGAUAAGUGUAGUAGACACUUUUGGGGUGUCUCCUAACCCCAGUGAACCUCCUUAGCCCCGUAGGGGUAGACACGUUCACAGUGAGUAUUUGCAUUAGUCUCUGGCCUCGGUUGGACGAGGGUGGGAACCGUAGGCCCGGGGGGCAGCUAAUUCAUGGAUUGGGAUGAGCCAUUUGGGCCUCACACAUUUAGUCUGGGUUCUAUGCUUGGAUUAGAAGACUCUGCAGAUUGGGGAAGAGCGACGGCUGGUUUGUGGGGGGAGACAGAAGAAUGAAAACAGCUGCACAGAGAGGCACACAGAACCACAUACCCUGCCUUGGUUCUGAAUGUCUUCCUGGUCCCUGGUUCAGAUUCCUUAUGAUCUCCAGCUGUACUUCUUGCCUUUGGGUUCCAUGAAAUAGCCCCAUUCCCUCCCAGCCCAUUUCCCUUUUGUGUUUGAGUUGCGGUGGAUUUUUGUUUCUUUUGUUUUGUUACGUCCCUUGCUAAAACGUAAGACAAACAUUUGGCAAACCUUUAUUGACAGCCACGUUGUCAGUGACGUUAUGAAUUCACUGACAUAGGCGAUAUGGAAGAAAAAGGACACAGUUCUGACACUUGAGAGGUCCACACAAUAUCAAGAGCCAAAUCCAUAUCAUUAUUGUUUCUGUGAUAUAAGACUUGGCCUUUUGAAUGAAUUUCUAUCAGAUUUUUAAAAAUUAUCACCUGUUUGAAACCCAUGGGGGAGGGGAAGGAAAAGAAAAAAAAAAAGAGGUUAGAGUGGGAGAGAGCCAAAGCAUAAGAGACUCUUAAAAACUGAGAACAAACUGAGGGCUGAUGGGGGGUGGGAGGGAGGGGAGGGUGGGUGAUGGGUAUUGAGAAGGACACCUGUUGGGAUGAGCACUGGGUGUUGUAUGGAAACCAAUUUGACAAUAAAUUUCAUAUAUUGAAAAAAAAAUUAUCACCUGUUUGACAAGUGACUAUAUUUGGUUCGGACAGGCAUUGGCUACUUACUUCUUAAUGUCACGUGAUGGUUGUGCAUCCAGUUCAACUUGAAGUGUCUAGAGAAAUUAGCUGCCCCUUCUUUGGGGAUAUUAAAAUAAUUUUAUGGCAUGAUAAAAAGCAUAUCCAUUUUCCCAUUGUACUUUGUAUCUUCUGUUAUGUGUUACAUUUUGGUCAUUAAAAGGUUUGUUUCUCUCAGGUGCAGGUUUUGUGAGAAUAGGAGUCCUAUCCUUUCUGUCUGCCCCCAAACGAAAUGCUUGGUGGAUGCCAUGAGAAUAUUCACUGCAUGCAGUCAGUGACUUUUUUGUUUUAUUUUGUCUUAUUUGCCGCAGUUUCCCGACUACCUAGAAUAGUGGCUGGCCCACAGCCGGGGCUCAGUAAAUACUUGAUUGUACUAUUACAUCGAUUCCCUUUUGACUAAAUGUUGGUUAACGUGGGUGAUAGUCAGCUACAAUAUUACAAGACAUUAUUAUAAUUCAGGUAUUCGUAGUUCAAGUCCCUGCAGUUCUGAGGUUGUAAGAGUAGCCAUGAUGUAACUACUAACGAAUAGAUUGAUCAUUUAUAAAACUAGCUUCCACCCAAACAUCUCUCCCCAUUCGCUGCUGUGUCUCUUCCUGCCCACCUUGCCCGGGUGUUUUUGGGUCAAGUGUCCAGCAGCACAGUUGCAAAGUGAAAUUGCAAAUCUUGCAACAGCUGCAGGAUUUAAUGUUAAAAGUGAUAUUGGAAGAGCCCCAGAUGCGGUAAUUACAUGGGUAAGUAUACGUGGCUUUUUUUUUUUCUUACUAUUUAAGUCCUUUUUUAAAGAUUAAUUGCCUGCUGAUGCAAAAGCAAUAAUGUACACGGGGUUCAUCACACACAUAGAAACGAAAAGCCUGACCAUAGUGACACAAAGGCUGGGGGGCAGGAAAUGGAAGUGUGUGGCAGUGAAGCUCGCCCUCUUCACAUGAAGUGGGGCAGUGUCACUGGAGGGUAGACCGGUAAGUUAAAGAUGAAUGCUAAAAUGCUGAAGCAUUUGGGCUAAAAUAACACAACAAGAGUUUGGGCUAAUGAGCCAACAGGGGAACGCAAAUGGAAUAAACACAUACUCGGUUGAAGCAAAUACUCCAUCUAAAAGCAGGUAGAAAAAGAGAAAAAGGGAACACAGAACAAAUGGGACAAAUAGCAAAAUGGUAGGAAAAACCCAUUCCUGCCCAUAACCACAUUAAAGGAAAUAGUCUACACACUCCAGUUAAAAACAAGACCAAGUAUAUAUGCUGUCGACAAGAAACUUGUUUCAAAUGUGAAGACACAAGGCAAAGAGAAAGGACAGAAAAAUAUAUACAGUGCUAACACUAAUCAGGAGAAAGCUGGAAUGCCUAUAUCCAUAGCAGACAAAGAAGAUCUCAGAGCAAAGAACACAACCAGGGGUAAAGAGGGACAUUUCACACAACGAAGGGUCAAUUCGUUCAGAGGAC